GGACUGAGUGGACAGUCACGGCUAUUUCUGCUCCACUUCUCUGUUCUUUUGAAACUUAGAUGAAAGGAAAUGAUCACAUGUCAGUGACUUUUGGAAUUCCAGUCUAAUGGCAAAGAAAAUUAAGUGGAAGCAUCAUUUUAGUCUCUGCAUGCUGUUCCCUUUCAAUGCCAAGCCGGGCGCCCUCAGAACCUCACUUCUCAGUCCUUCAUGGAGCCCGGGUCCCAGCAGGAAUGGCAGCGGAGGAAAUUGGCACGC
rnacentral:lncRNA from 1 species